CGAUAUCGCAAGACAUCUGAUGAAUAGAAUCCUCUGGAAAGUGGAACCAUAGACGGUGAUAGUCCUGUAUAUGAAGUCAGAUUAAGCGUAGUGGUAUCCUGAGUAGCGCGGGACACGAGAAAUCUUGCGUGAAUCUGCCGGGACCAUCCGGUAAGGCUAAAUACUCCCGAGAGACCGAUAGCGAACCAGUACUGUGAAGGAAAGGUGAAAAGCACUUCGAACAGAAGAGUGAAAUAGUCCCUGAAACCGUGCGCCUACAAGCGGUCGGAGCUGCGUAAGCAGUGACGGCGUGCCUUUUGCAUAAUGAACCUACGAGUUACUUUUUCCGGCAAGGUUAAGCAUCUUGAGAUGCGCAGCCGAAGCGAAAGC
rnacentral:rRNA from 1 species